UACGUAGGGUGCAAGCGUUGUCCGGAUUUAUUGGGCGUAAAGAGCUCGUAGGCGGUUAGUCACGUCGGAUGUGAAAUCCCGGAGCUCAACUCCGGGCCUGCAUUCGAUACUGGCUGACUCGAGUGUUGUAGGGGAGACUGGAACUCCUGGUGUAGCGGUGAAAUGCGCAGAUAUCAGGAAGAACACCGGUGGCGAAGGAGGGUCUCUGGGCAACUACUGACGCUGAGGAGCGAAAGCGUGGGGAGCAAACAGGAUUAGAUGCCCUGGUAGUCCACGCCGUAAACGGUGGGCGCUAGGUGUGGGGAACAUACCACGUUCUCUGCGCCGCAGCUAACGCAUUAAGCGCCCCGCCUGGGGAGUACGGCCGCAAGGCUA
rnacentral:rRNA from 1 species